GAUGAACGCUAGCGGGAGGCUUAACACAUGCAAGUCGAGGGGCAGCACGAGGUAGCAAUACUUUGGUGGCGACCGGCGCACGGGUGAGUAACGCGUAUGCAACCUACCCUGUACAGGGGGAUAACCCGGAGAAAUGCGGACUAAUACCCCAUAAAGAUAAUUAGAGGCUUCUUUGAAUAGUUAAAGUUCCGGCGGUACGGGCUGGGCAUGCGUAACAUUAGCUAGUUGGUAAGGUAACGGUUUACCAAGGCAACGAUGUUUAGGGGUCCUGAGAGGGUGAUCCCCCAAACUGGUACUGAGACACGGACCAGACUCCUACGGGAGGCAGCAGUGAGGAAUAUUGGUCAAUGGGCGCAAGCCUGAACCAGCCAUCCCGCGUGAAGGAAGAAUGCGCUAUGCGUUGUAAACUUCUUUUCCAGGGGAAUAAAAUUUUGUACGUGUGCGGAAUUGAAGGUACCCUGGGAAUAAGCAUCGGCUAACUCCGUGCCAGCCGCCGCCGUAAUAC
rnacentral:rRNA from 1 species